rnacentral:rRNA from 1 species
GGAAACGGAUAGAGCUAGCGUAUCCAGUCUGUAUUCAGCUGUUCUGGCACGAGUUGCCGGCUCUUCGGUCCAGAGCAAUGGUCGAUUGGUCGGUUCUUCUUGUGCAGGCGCAGUGCAUUUGCAGGCAGAGUGCGCUGAGGCGUGUGAGGUAGUGGCUUGAAGCGUGCUUUGAGGAUAAUCUUCGGAUUAAAACCCGGGCGCGUCUAGAACUAUUUACUUUGCAUGUAGCUUGGAACAUGGCCUACGGGUGUUGGCCAGGUUUGGUUGGUCGUUGGUAACGGUCGCAUGCGACACGUGCCAGUGGCUGGCUUUACUUGGUCCGGACUCACAUGUUCAUCCUCGGUGUAAAAGCUAGUCAUCUAUCCGACCCGUCUUGAAACACGGACCAAGGAGUUUAGCGUAUGCGCAAGUCAUUGAGUGUGAAAACUCAAAGGCACAAUGAAAGUAAAGGUAUCUUCUGAUACUGAUAUGCGAUAUUGUACACCAUGGUGUGCAUUAGCAGCAUAGCCCCGUCUCGAUCGCUUGCGAUGAGGCGGAGGUAGAGCGUAUUCGCUGAGACCCGAAAGAUGGUGAACUAUUCCUGAGCAGGAUGAAGCCAGUGGAAA